GGUCAAGCUACAAAGGGCGCAUGGUGAAUGCCUUGGCAUCAGGAGCCGAUGAAGGACGUGAUAAGCUGCGAUAAGCUUCGGGUAGGCGCACAUAGCCUGAGAUCCGAAGAUCUCCGAAUGAGGAAACUCACAUGGGAAACCCCAUGUAUCGUUAAGUGAAUACAUAGCUUAAUGAAGGUAACCCAGGGAACUGAAACAUCUAAGUACCUGGAGGAAGAGAAAGAAAAAUCGAUUUUCUUAGUAGCGGCGAGCGAAAGGGAAAGAGCCCAAACCGGAAACUUGUUUCCGGGGUUGUGGACAUGACAUAAAAGUGGAGGCUAUUGUAACUGAAGAGAACUGGAAAGUUCCACCGUAGAAGGUAAUAGUCCUGUAAGUGAAACGAGAAGACCACGAGUUAUGAUCCAGAGUACCACGAGACACGUGAAACCUUGUGGGAAGCAGGGAGGACCACCUCCCAAGGCUAAAUACUACCUGAUGACCGAUAGUGAAGCAGUACCGUGAGGGAAAGGUGAAAAGAACCCCGGGAGGGGAGUGAAAUAGAACCUGAAACCGUGUGCCUACAACCGCUCAGAGCCCCUUAUGAGGGUGAUGAGGUGCUUUUUGUAGAACGAGCCAACGAGUUACGGUAUGUAGCAAGGUUAAGUACUUAAGGUACGGAGCCGAAGGGAAACCGAGUCUGAAUAGGGCGACUAGUUGCAUGCCGUAGACCCGAAACCGGGUGACCUAUCCAUGGCCAGGUUGAAGCGAGGGUAAAACCUCGUGGAGGACCGAACCACGUUGCUGUUGAAAAAGCAUGGGAUGAGCUGUGGAUAGCGGAGAAAUUCCAAUCGAACCCGGAGAUAGCUGGUUCUCUCCGAAAUAGCUUUAGGGCUAGCGUCGAGUAUGAGUAGUGGAGGUAGAGCACUGAAUGGGCUAGGGGGCAUAGCGCUUACCGAACCUUAUCAAACUCCGAAUGCCACAUACUUUGAGCUCGGCAGUCAGACUACGAAUGAUAAGAUCCGUGGUCAAAAGGGAAACAGCCCAGAUCGUCAGCUAAGGUCCCAAAGUGUAAGUUAAGUGGGAAAGGAUGUGAGAUUUCUAAGACAACUAGGAUGUUGGCUUAGAAGCAGCCAUUCAUUAAAAGAGUGCGUAAUAGCUCACUAGUCGAGAGAUCUUGCGCCGAAAAUGUAACGGGGCUAAACUUACCACCGAAGCUACGGGCUUGAACUUAGUUCAAGCGGUAGGAGAGCGUCGUAACCGGGCUGAAGUCGUACCGUAAGGAGCGGUGGACUGGUUACGAGUGAGAAUGUUGGCAUCAGUAGCGAGAUGUGGGUGAGAAUCCCACAGGCCGAAAACCUAAGGUUUCCUCAGGAAGGUUCGUCCGCUGAGGGUUAGUCGGGACCUAAGCCGAGGCCGAAAGGCGUAGGUGAUGGACAACUGGUUGAUAUUCCAGUACCACUACCAUCGUUAUUAUCGAUGGCGUGACGCAGGAGGAUAGUGUGUGCUAGCUAUUGGAUGCUAGUCUAAGCGUUUAGGCAGUGAGAGUAGGCAAAUCCGCUCUCAUAAUGCUGAGGCGUGAUGGGGAAGGUUCUACGGAACCGAAGUACAUGAUUCCACGCUGCCAAGAAAAGCGUCUAGAGAGAGAAGUAGUGCCCGUACCGCAAACCGACACAGGUAGGUGAGGAGAGAAUCCUAAGGCCGGCGGAAGAAUUACAGUUAAGGAACUCGGCAAAUUGACCCCGUAAGUUCGCGAGAAGGGGUGCCUACGAGAGUAGGCCGCAGAGAAUAGGCCCAAGCAACUGUUUAGCAAAAACACAGGUCUCUGCUAAAGCGUAAGCUGAUGUAUAGGGGCUGACGCCUGCCCGGUGCUGGAAGGUUAAGGGGAACACUUAGCGCAAGCGAAGGUGUGAACUUAAGCCCCAGUAAACGGCGGCCGUAACUAUAACGGUCCUAAGGUAGCGAAAUUCCUUGUCAGGUAAGUUCUGACCCGCACGAAUGGCGUAAUGACUUGGGCACUGUCUCAACUGUAAAUCCGGCGAAGUUGUAGUGCGAGUGAAGAUGCUCGCUACCCGCGAUUGGACGGAAAGACCCCGUAGAGCUUUACUGUAGCUUAGCAUUGAGUUUUGGUAUUGUCUGUACAGGAUAGGUGGGAGACUAGGAAACCAGGGCGUCAGCCUUGGUGGAGUCAACCUUGGGAUACCACCCUGACAGUACUGAAAUUCUAACUGGCGGCCAUGAAUCUGGUCACAGGACAUUGUUAGGUGGGCAGUUUGACUGGGGCGGUCGCCUCCUAAAAAGUAACGGAGGCGCCCAAAGGUUCCCUCAGAACGGUCGGAAAUCGUUCGAAGAGUGCAAAGGCAGAAGGGAGCCUGACUGCGACACCCACAAGUGGAGCAGGGACGAAAGUCGGGCUUAGUGAUCCGGUGGUACCUCGUGGGAGGGCCAUCGCUCAACGGAUAAAAGCUACCUCGGGGAUAACAGGCUGAUCUCCCCCAAGAGUCCACAUCGACGGGGAGGUUUGGCACCUCGAUGUCGGCUCGUCGCAUCCUGGGGCUGAAGUAGGUCCCAAGGGUUGGGCUGUUCGCCCAUUAAAGCGGCACGCGAGCUGGGUUCAGAACGUCGUGAGACAGUUCGGUCCCUAUCCGUCGCGGGCGUAGGAAAUUUGAGAGGAGCUGUCCUUAGUACGAGAGGACCGGGAUGGACUGACCUCUGGUGUACCAGUUGUUCCGCCAGGAGCACAGCUGGGUAGCUAAGUCGGGAAUGGAUAAACGCUGAAAGCAUCUAAGCGUGAAGCCAACCUCAAGAUGAGAUUUCCCAUAGCAUAAGCUAGUAAGAUCCCUUGAAGAACACAAGGUUGAUAGGUCUGGGGUGUAAGCAUGGUAACAUGUUCAGCUGACCGAUACUAAUAGAUCGAGGGCUUGACCAA
rnacentral:rRNA from 1 species